GCCUAUAUGAAGUCGGAAUUGCUAGUAAUCGCAGAUCAGCAUGCUGCGGUGAAUACGUUCCCGGGCCUUGUACACACCGCCCGUCACACCAUGAGAGUCGAUAACACCCGAAGCCUGUAGUCUAACCAUAAGGAGGACGCAGUCGAAGGUGGGAUUGAUAAUUAGGGUGAAGUCGUAACAAGGUAAC
rnacentral:rRNA from 1 species